CGUGGCUGUUUCUUGUCUAAUAAACGUUUAGAACAUGUUAAUUCUGUAACUUUAUUCAUGACCAACGUUUGGUUAUCAGUCCAAAGUGCAAGGGAAGUGUGCAGAAACUUCUGCGAAAACUUAACAUCGAUAUGAACUCUGAAGGUCGCAUCCAAUGUAAAAAUUUCUGGAUUUUCCAUCGAUUUCUAUCAAGGAUUUGUAUAGUCUUGA
rnacentral:lncRNA from 1 species